CGAGGGAGCCAUAAGACCUGCUAACUCUUUAAUCUGGAACUAACCACCAGCCCCCUC
rnacentral:tRNA from 1 species